GAUGAACGCUGGCGGCGUGCCUAAUACAUGCAAGUCGAACGCACAGCGAAAGGUGCUUGCACCUUUCAAGUGAGCGGCGAACGGGUGAGUAACACGUGGACGACCUGCCUCAAGGCUGGGGAUAACAUUUGGAAACAGAUGCUAAUACCGAAUAAAACUCAGUGUCGCAUGACACAAAGUUAAAAGGCGCUUUGGCGUCACCUAGAGAUGGAUCCGCGGUG
rnacentral:rRNA from 1 species